GAGAGAGAAAGAGAGAGAGAGAGUUUAUACCUGUUCAAAAAAAUUCUUGUGACAAGAAGGACAAUGAACAGCACCAUGUCGGCAUUAGAUAUAUAAAAAUCAAACUUACACUUCUAACACAGAUGAUGGUUCAUAGCUAACCAAGGAGAACAUAAAACAAAAUAUGAUAAAAGAUCCUGGGAUAAAAGAACUCAACCAAUGCACUGUUGAUCAUUAAGUUCACAAAGUAUGGAAGAAAUAUAGCCUAAAACACAGUAUAGUUUCACCUUGCACUCUGAGCAACCCAUCCAACAAUAACUGCAGGCCAUGCAUAGCCUCGGAUCUGCCAAAAGGGGAAAAAAUCUGUUCCAUUAAAAGUUAUUGAAACAAUGAAAUUAGAGUAUAAUCUACAAUAAUUGACAAGGACAAAUAUCCUUUCAAUUAGUAUAAAAGAAUAAAAUCAAGUAGAUGGUUGUCAUAUCAAUCAAGUAGUUUGAAGAAUUAUAGACAAUCAAUACUCCUGGAAAAGACAUGAAAAAACUAGUAUAUUUGCUCUUCUGGGCCGAACUUACUAUGAUGUAGAGAUGCAUCCAUGGACAAUCUCAACAUUAUAGGUACAAAAAGUUUAAAUGUUGUGCACAUGACAUUUUCUCAACUGGUAGUGAAACAAUUUAACCUGAUAGAUAGCCUAUAUGGCCAAAUAUAUAAGUGUCAAUUUCCAUAUGAUGACCAUGAGGCAUAAGCAAUGAGAAGAAGAAGAUUUCCAUCACCAUAGCUUGCCCACUAAUAAGGCUUUAGUACUGAAGAUAUGCACAUCCAAAUGAUUAUCAAAAAAUAUAAAAACAACAAAGAGAAAUUUGGAAUGCUUCAAUAAUGUUACUGUUUUCUCUUUGGAGAAUUAAUAUUAGGUGUAAAAAAAGAAUUUGGACACACGAAGGACUUAUAAAGACGAGCAUGAACCUGAACAUAUGUAUUUGCUGCAGGUACAAUAUGUACAUUUUUUGGUCCUGUAAAAGCUGAAAGAUACAAGAAAAGCAAAACAACCAUUUGCUUAGUGAUUCAAAUAAUCUAAUGCAUUGUGAAGAAGCACAAAUGACUCACUGGCACACAAGAACAAGAAACUCCAUCUUUCUGCAAUGUGAAAAUAAUGAAAAGCUCUACCAGUCUUUAUUACCAGUUAAUGCCCAUGAACCAAAGUAUCUUGUAAACAAAAACAUCAAGAUGCCGCAAGCCAAACCAACAAAAAGAAGGAUAGAUAUUUGAUGCUGCACUUCAUUAUUAUCCUGCAUGAAUAUUAUAUAGUCACCUAAUGCAGCUCAAAACGUAGUAGAGCAAUUAGUAAGUGAUAAGACAAAUGUCCACCACACAGUUCACAGCACAUAAAAAAAAGGCAUGGCUAGCCUGAAAAAUAGAAAUGGUAAAUGGUGCAGUACUGACAGCAAAAACAAUGAAGUACUGGCAGAGUAGGAACUGGCAACCUCAAGAAAUAAUAAACCUCCGGUCUCAUCCCUGAGCUGUGCAUAUCUUCAUUUUAACUUUUCACAAUUGCAUCCUAAAAAUGUUUUCGCACUUGCAAUGAAGAUUUAAUUAAGCAAUAUCAGUUAACUAACCCGUCUGGCAAGGGAAGUGGCAACCAAAUUUGAAGUGGCAACUGAAAGGAACAUGAACACAUAACUUAUAUAAUCACAAACCACCGUUCCAGGUCCCAAAGCAGCAAGCUCAAUGGAGCUUCCCUGACCGAUAACUGCAGUAUCAAUGAGACUCAUCAACGGCCCACAUAACCAAAGCCCCGUAGCAGGCCCUGUAAACAUCAUAAUCUCCCUCGUUUGGUUCCAUAUAGUCUGAUUCUCAAAUGCCUCUGUUUUAACCUCCGCUUCUAUCUCCUCUCCUUCUUGAAAUGACGAUACGGAAGCAAUUUCACUAUCAUUUUCGCUAUCCAUUUCCCGGUUAUUAUCAACUACAUCUUGGGUCGGGCUAAUGCAAUGGCGCAUAAGUCGAUUUCUGCGAUACUUUGGUGCAGAAAGGUGUACACAUGAAGGAACAUGAUAGCUGUGGGUUUGAUGCGUCAGAAAAUGCAGGGGAGAUUGAGAAUAAUAAUGCCUGAAAUUAGGCUUUUGACGAGAAAUUAGAGGAGGACGAUGAGCUAGGGUUUUGAUUUGCAUUCUUUUGAGCUCCAAAUUUUUUAAUUGAAUUUGAAAGAGGUUCCAGAAAAAGGAGCCAAAUAGAGAAUCGUGG
rnacentral:misc_RNA from 1 species